AUGGACCAGUGGUCCACGGGGUGUGUCACGGAGCCAAGGAGGGACCCUUCCCUCCUGCUGGGCGAUGAGGCCCCCUUCCGGGCCCACCUGGGCCGGCAUCGUCAUCUCCAGCCCCAUGGUUCCCCGUGGCCCAUGGAAUGCACAUGCAUUUCUCUCACCACGGCCUGUUAUUCCCAACAUCUCUCCAAGAAAGGAGUUGGACAGACCCGGAGGGAAGAAACACAGGGAAGAACCAGAGAGGUCCAGGGUGGAAAUGGCAGGAUGGGGCAAGUGCCCGCUAUGCACCUUCCGCCUAGUGGGAGUGGUGCUCCGCUGCCAGGCAUCGGGAAGGAAAAUCAAGGAAAGAGAAAUGUCAUCCAUGAGUAAAGUCUGAUCAUCUUCAUAACCAUAAUAUACAAAGAGCUUUUAUAAAUCAAUAAGAAAGAAAAACACAAUAAUGGAAAAAUGGGCUCAAGAUACAAUUGAGUAAUUCAUAAAAGGAAAAUAUGGUCCAUAAAUACAGCUAAGAAAACACUGAAUUUUACCAACAAUCAGAGAGAUGGAACUUACAGCAGAGACAACUACAGUACCAAACGACCAAACCACAACCAAACUAGCAAAGAUGCAGAAGAGUGGUAAUACCAGGCUGGUGAGAUCUGGAGAGCAGAGGCACAGCUGUGGCACCUAAUGCCUCUCCAGCCCAGACCCAGGCAUGCUCUCUGAUCCAACUCACUUCUAGGAAUUCAAAGACAGGCACAGAGGGUUGGCUCCAAGGGUCCAGGCACUAAGCCUUAUCUAAAGUGCCCACAGAUCGAGAACGGCUGCUCCUUCGGCCUGUGCUGAGGUCUCCAGCCUCGGCACAGGCCUCAGGAAGUCGUGGCUGUGUGCCUGUCUGGGAGGGAGUGUGCGCUCCUUGGUGUUGCGGCUGCAAAGAUGCGUCCUGGAGGCAGUGGGUGGGAGCCACAGGGAGCAAACCAGCUGGAGGUCAGGAAGCAAGCCCAGGCAGUGAGGACCUGCCUGCAGAAGCAAUGAGCCUACUCGCUGGGGGCAAAUGAGCAGAAAGGGGCUGGGGUUUCCCUUAAGCGCUGCGACUGCUCCUCCACACAGCCUCCCCCAGAGCGGACUCCUUCCCAGACACUGCAGCAGCCCCACCCAGCCAGCCCCAGAGUUGCCCCACGCCUGGAACAAUGAACUCAGAGAGUGCACCGAGAACAUCCCACAGGGAACACGCUGGUGGACAGAUGGGUAAACUGAGGGCAGCAGUUCAAAUGAGUAAAACUGAGGCAGCUUGUCAAAUGAGUAAGUGUGUUGGGUGCAUCUUCCCUUCCCCACCAUAAGGGGAUGGUGGUUUACGUGCCUCUGAAUCCCCAGCCAGCACCUCGCACAGGGCCUGUGAACAGGAGGCGCCCACGCUGUGCCCUGCCCGCUGAGUCCCUGUGAAGGGAGCCACGUCCAGCCAGAGCCUCCGACGUACAGUGGGGCCCACAGGGACUUACUUCUGCAGCAUCUCAGUGCUUGGCUGUGCAGGAGGGGCCUCUCCCUCCCGCAGCUCCACCUGGGGUCCAGCUGGGACACCGCCCGCCUGGACACGCAUCCAGGAAAGAGGACCCUGCCAUCAACAGAUGAACAAGUUAACUGCGGUCCAUCCUUGCAAGGGAUAUUACCCAGGAUGGUGAGUCUCGCACAGCCCGCAUCACCCGGAACCCAAGAAUACUAUGCAGCCUGAAAGAUGCCAGCCUCCAAGGAUAAACCCUAUGACUCUGUCUUGAGGGUCACCAGAUUCCAUAGAGACAGGGAGCAUCUCAGGGGCUCCCAGAGCCAGGGAUGGCCCUUGCUUUGUGGGUUCAGAGUUUUUGCUGGGGGUGGUGAAAAAGGUUUGGUAUAGAUGCCAAUGAUGGUCACACAGGUUUUGACGGCCCUGGGCUUACACUUACAACUAAAGUGAGAAACAUUAGGUCGUGUUGGAUUUAGCCACAGUGUAAAAGCAAAUAAACAGAAACAGUGUGGACUCA
ensembl:lncRNA